rnacentral:lncRNA from 1 species
UCUCUCUGCGUGGAAGAUUUUGAUAAAGGAAUUGAGCCUCACCUUCUGGAACAAUGACAUACAUCCAUAUUAGGUGGUGUUAGUUGAACUUGACUUGGUUUGCAUGAGGCAUAAGAUAGAGUCAGCUAUUGCAAUUAUAUAUUCAUAUGCAUGAUUCCAUGAUGGCUGAUAAGCAUCAAGUCUCAAUUUAUUAUGUUUUCAUUGUACGAAUUUAGAAAUCAGACGUCAGUAACGUGCAGCAAAAGGGAUGUAGUGGGACAACCAUGAAAGAAGUGAAAAGCUCAUCAGGGGUGUACUGAACUGUGAU